GCGCGGUCACAGCUCCGCCAUCGCUGGUCCGGGCGCUCGGCUCCUUACCCGCUGCGCGGCCCCCGCCCCCGGCAUUAGCCGGGUGGCCUUGCUAACAUCUGCUCCUCCUCCACCUUGUUGCUCCUCUGCAGUUCUGCGGGCCCCCAGUUCCAUCUUCCCCCUGUAGGAGUUAGGUCCCACUUCUGGGUUUGGUUGUUGAUUUCACUGUUAGCUUAGUUUUAGUGUUUAGUUUUAGCGAUAGGCAUAGGUUACUGUUAGGAGUGUAGAGUUAGGCAUAGGUUACUGUUAGGAGUUUAGAGUUAGGCAUAGGUUACUGUUAGGAGUUUAGAGUUAGGCAUAGGUUGCUGCUGCCAACUGGCAGUAAAUGCUGCUCACUCGGUAAGCCCUCCCCAAGUUCUCAUGCAGAGAAAUGAGUGCAACUGCCGUGAGAAGGGAGGUUUGAGGACGUCUGCAAUGAAUUGAAUUUCCGUCUUGUGACUUUUCUGUUGCAGAACAUUGAGGAAUGUGAGUGGCUGAGAAAUGGAGUUGGGACUCAGGGGAGCAAUCGAGCAACGGGUGCCUGUGUCACAACCUUCCUGAGCGGCCCUUGCAAGCUCCUGCUCCCCUCGCCUGCAAGUGGAGCAGUGCUCAAGCUUGAGGAGUCUUGUCCUCGGCAGGUGGAAAAGAUGGUGCAGCUGCAGGUUUUGUGCAGGCUGCCUGCUGUGUGGCUGCUGAAGGGCAUUUCUCCUCAGCUGAGAUCCCACACUGGCAAAGAAUGUGCUGCGCCACCAUCUCUUCUGUGGAGACACUUUGCAGGUUCUCUGUGUUUCCAGGUGCCAUAAGCCAGUAAGUCGUGCUCUCUGAGGCUGAUAGAAAGGCACGGGCAAUGGGCAGGGAGGGAAC